GGGCAGCUCAAUGCAUCUUGUUGUGGGAGGGUCAGGGAGCAGCCUACUGCGUGCUGAGUCAGUGGCUGUCUUUCUCCUCUGCAGCUGGUCCGACAGGGGCGGUGAACUGAGAUUUCCCAGGCCGGAGCUUUCUCCCAGCAGCUACUCUAGAGGAUUGUCUGCUCAGGGUUCAGAUGUUUGCCUUGACUCCAGAGGAGAGCAGAGUCUGGACCUGGUAAGCACCUUGGUCAGCUUGUGUUCUGGACCAUGGACUCCAUGAGAAUCCCCCUAAUGUGAAAAUGUCGAACACUAACAGGGAAUUAGUGAUUGACUUUCUCUCCUACAAGCUAUCUCAGAGGGGAUACAGCUGGAGUCGGUUCGAGGGGGAGGAUGAGAUCAGGACUGAUUCUGCAGAAGAGGCUGAGAUGGCAAGUGUCCCUAAUGGGAGUCCAUCCUGGCAUCCAGGUGCCAGCCACAUAGUGAACGGGGCUGCUGGGCACAGUAACAGCCUUGAAGCCCAUGAAAGGGUUCCAGCAACUGGAGUGAGGGACGCGCUGAGAGAGGCAGGAGAUGAGUUUGAAUUGAGGUAUCGGAGGGCUUUCAGUGACCUCACUUCCCAACUCCACAUCACCCCUGGCACGGCAUACCAGAGCUUUGAGCAGGUAGUGAAUGAACUCUUCCGGGACGGAGUGAACUGGGGGCGCAUUGUGGCUUUUUUCUCCUUUGGAGGAGCCCUGUGUGUGGAGAGUGUCGACAAGGAGAUGCAGGUGUUGGUUGGACGCAUCGUCUCAUGGAUGACCACUUACCUGACUGACCACCUAGAUCCCUGGAUCCAAGAGAAUGGCGGUUGGGAGCGGUUUGUGGAUCUCUAUGGGAAUGACGCUGCUGCCAAGAGCAGGAAAGGCCAGGAGCAGUUCAACAGGUGGCUUCUGACCGGGGCGACUCUGGCAGGAGUGCUCCUGCUGGGCUCUCUGCUGAGCCGCAAGUAACCGGACACUGACUCCUCCCCAGCGCCCAGGAUGGCCCUGGGCCUGUGGUCACACUAUACUCCAGAGCAAGGCUGCCACUUUUUCCCUACAUGCUGCAAGCACCCGAUCCCGCACCCCAGCACUCCAAGCAGGUACCCCGCGUUCCUCGGCUCGGCUGCUCCGAGCAUGGGCCUGGGGCUGCAAAGUGCUUUCCCACUCUCUGGGGACCAGGCAUGUCUGGGUUUGCUCUUCUGCUGGGAGUCCCCUAGCUAGUGCCAGGUGGGGGACUCACGGACAGAGAAAAACACUGUGUCAGCAGCAGUGCCAUGGCAGGUGUUUACAUUUGGCUUCUAAUUGCUCCCUGCCUCUGCUAGCGUCGCUCUCUGGAGAGCCCGCGGUGGCUGCUGCCCGAGGAGCUUGCAGCAAGGGCAGAAGUAAACACUGCUCUGCCCAGGGCCUGGUAAGAGUUCAGGUGGGGUUACCCCAGCAGUGGUGGGGUUGCCCCAGCAGUGGUGGGACUGCUUGCCCCGCCCCCCUCCUACGCACACUUUCUGGGGUAGCAGCAGAGUCUGUCUCUUUCCUCAUUGCUGUGCGGGAGGGCAGGGUGGGAGGAGCAAAGCGAGACUGCGGCGGAGGUGAGUGCUGCCCCAUAGGGAACCAUAGGGAGCUGUAGCAUCAUUGUCCCUGGGCCGGGGGCAAAGUAGGAGGCUGAUCUCUCCCAGGGGAUGGAGGAGCUGGACACUGGAACAGAGCACGGCCAGAGGCAGCCCAGCUGGCAAGGGAGAGAAGGGGCUGGAGAUGGAGGAAGGCCCCUGCCCACCUUCCUGAUAGUUCCACUUAGCUGAGUUCCAAGUCUGGCCCCACGCUCUAGCAGUGAGCAGGGCAGUGUUCAGAGCCCUGAUGGCCCCCUGCUAGCUCCAGGGUGGCAGGUACUCCCCUGGAGUGCUCCCGCUCGCUCAGAUACCUGCUGUGCUUUUCAGGAUUGCCUGAGUAACAGCAGCGUUUGGUUUAAUACUGGGCCUGCCGCCGUUCCAUCUCCAGUGUGCAUUCACCUCCUCGCGGGGCGGGGCAUCUCCUGCUCCUAGCACAGGGACAUGCCCUCCCCUCCCUCCACAUGGGGGGUGUGGGGCUGGGGAGGGGCUGUCCUCUGUGCCGCUUGUAGCCCCGCACUGUUCUCUCCUGCAAGCUGCUGAGGAGGAGCUGGACCCUGCUAGUGCCUGCCGGGCGUUUCAUCCCCCUGAAGCAUUAACGUGACGCUGGCUUUGAAACAUCCCCCGUCUCCUGGGAGUCCAGCGUCAGCGCCCGACAGGCCUGGCAGGUGUCUGCUCCUUGUACAUAUUUUCUGUGCUCUGCUGUAAAUACCUGAGAGUAGUUUUUAUUCAUUUGUGAAUAUUCUAAUACUAUUUUUGUUAACUGUAUGUCUGUAUUUAUGUGUUGACAGUGCUCCCCCAUCACCCUGCAGGGGCGGGCCCCAGGCCCCCACCCAGGCCCCCAAAGGAGAACCGGGGCGAGAGAGCAGGUCCCCACAGACACUAAGAACCCACCUUGCACUCUCAGCUCCUGACUCAGCCUCUCACGGUGCUGGCCGGGCAGUGUGGGGUUAGGCCCACCCAGUCCUUUGCGUGCGAAAGUCACUCCCGACACAGCUUGUGGCAGGCAUUUUGAAAUGCUUUGAUUUGCAGGUGGAGGCUCAAUCCUAUUAAUAAACUCUGUGGUUGGA